CCAGUGUUGGGGGAUUGGUCAAAUUAUACUUUAUAGUGAUUCCCCUAGAUUAGUGCAUUGGUUAUUGUGCAAUGACAACCUUUUUUCAGAGACCUCUCAAAGGUCAAUUUCUCAGACAUGCCAAGUCACUGUACAUGUUUAAUAAUCUAAUCUGUUUAUUUAUUUUGUUUAUUUUUCUAGAUUGCCAAUCAUUCCUGUUGAACUACAUUAUUCAUUUCAAUGAAUCAGAUGCAGAAUCUUACAACUAUGGUUAAUUUGUUCAAAUUUGUUCACCUGAUUGGGGAAAACCUGACACUAUUUGAUCUUAUUAGUUAUUGGAAUGCCUAUCAAAUUUACAUAGCCUCAGGCAAUGUUUAUAUAAUUCAUCUCGAGUAAUAGAGAUGCUGUACCCCCUGAGGGAGUGACCCUACUACCUGGAUCAUCCCACUAGGCAAGACAGGUUCAAAACUUUCCAUGCAUUUAACACUUGCAUGGCAGUUGCUAUAAUAGGAUAUGAUAGUUGCUAUAAUAGGAUAAUAUAAUUUUGCCUUGCCAGGGUGGCUCAGGGGAUAGGAUUUCCCUAGUACCUGGAGACCAUAUAAACAGGUCUUCAGAUUACUGUAAUAGUUUACUGUAAUGGAGGGUUAAAAAAGCACCCCCCCCCCCAUGUAAAAGUGCAUGGUAGGCCUGCUCCCCAAUCCAGCCCCCCUUGGAAGAUGUACUGCAGUAAAGCUAGACAAUUUUACUUGUUAACCCAUUGAGUCACUUUGCGCCCUACUUUAUUAUUUUACUCUGUCUAUUGUCUAACACCAGACGAUCCAGUUAACCUAUUGAGUUACAUUGUGCCCUGAUGCACCCUACUUUAUUAUUUUACUCUGUCUAACGCCAGACGAUUUUACUCGUCAAGGGGAGAGCACACUUGAACAGGGAAAGGAUUAAUUGGGAAUACUUUCUCUAAACUAUUUAUCAAUGAAAGGAACAAUGCAAUUAUUCAUAGUAUGUAACUUUUUAGAUAAAGCAAAGACUGUAGGAGGAAACAUGGAUCAUUGGCUACUUUUUUUAUUUAGUAUUAAUUUCCAUGACAGCAUGUGGGUCAACUAUAAAGGAAAC